UGGAUCCAGACUUUGAUUAUGGCUCAGGACGAACGCUGGCGGCGUGCUUAACACAUGCAAGUCGAACGGGGUGUUUAUUUCGGUAAACACCAAGUGGCGAACGGGUGAGUAACGCGUAAGCAAUCUACCUUCAAGAUGGGGACAACACUUCGAAAGGGGUGCUAAUACCGAAUGAAUGUAAGAGUUUCGCAUGAGACACUUACUAAAGGAGGCCUCUGAAAAUGCUUCCGCUUGAAGAUGAGCUUGCGUCUGAUUAGCUAGUUGGUGAGGGUAAAGGCCCACCAAGGCGACGAUCAGUAGCCGGUCUGAGAGGAUGAACGGCCACAUUGGGACUGAGACACGGCCCAGACUCCUACGGGAGGCAGCAGUGGGGAAUCUUCCGCAAUGGGCGAAAGCCUGACGGAGCAACGCCGCGUGAACGAUGAAGGUCUUAGGAUCGUAAAGUUCUGUUGUUAGGGACGAAGGAUAAGGAUUAUAAUACAGUCUUUGUUUGACGGUACCUAACGAGGAAGCCACGGCUAACUACGUGCCAGCAGCCGCGGUAAUACGUAGGCGGCAAGCGUUGUCCGGAAUUAUUGGGCGUAAAGGGAGCGCAGGCGGGAAACUAAGCGGAUCUUAAAAGUGCGGGGCUCAACCCCGUGAUGGGGUCCGAACUGGUUUUCUUGAGUGCAGGAGAGGAAAGCGGAAUUCCCAGUGUAGCGGUGAAAUGCGUAGAUAUUGGGAAGAACACCAGUGGCGAAGGCGGCUUUCUGGACUGUAACUGACGCUGAGGCUCGAAAGCUAGGGUAGCGAACGGGAUUAGAUACCCCGGUAGUCCUAGCCGUAAACGAUGGAUACUAGGUGUGGGAGGUAUCGACUCCUUCCGUGCCGGAGUUAACGCAAUAAGUAUCCCGCCUGGGGAGUACGGCCGCAAGGUUGCAACUCAAAGGAAUUGACGGA
rnacentral:rRNA from 1 species